GCCAGUGUGAUGUAGUGGUUUGAGUGUUGGACUAUGACUCUAGAGACCAGGGUUCGAUUCCCAGCUUGCUCA